rnacentral:rRNA from 1 species
GAGUUUGAUCCUGGCUCAGGGCGAACGCUGGCGGCGUGCUUAACACAUGCAAGUCGAACGAGAAUCUACUGAAAGAGUUUUCGGACAAUGGAAGUAGAGGAAAGUGGCGGACGGGUGAGUAACGCGUGAGGAACCUGCCUUGAAGAGGGGACAACAGUUGGAAACGACUGCUAAUACCGCAUGAUGCAUAAGGGUCGCAUGAUUCUUA